GACGAACGCUGGCGGCGUGCUUAACACAUGCAAGUCGAACGGGCCCGCUCUCUUUUUUGGGGGUGGGUUGAGUGGCGAACGGGUGAGUAUCACGUGAGUAACCUGCCCCCUGCUCCUGGAUAACUGCUUGAAAGGGCGGCUAAUACGGGGUGUGCCGGCUGGUCCGCAUGGGCCUGGUCGGGAUAGUUUCAUCUUCGGGGGUUUCGGUGGGGGAUGGGCUCGCGGCCUAUCAGCUUGUUGGUGGGGUGAUGGCCCACCAAGGCGGUGACGGGUAGCCGGCCUGAGAGGGUGGGCGGCCACACUGGGACUGAGACACGGCCCAGACUCCGGCGGGAGGCAGCAGUGGGGGGUAUUGCACAAUGGGCGGAAGCCUGAUGCAGCGACGUCGCGUGAGGGAUGGAGGCCUUCGGGUUGUGAACCUCUUUCUCCGGUGGUGAAGGCCCUGUCCGGUGCGGCGGGGUUGACGGUAGCCGGGUAUGAAGCGCCGGCUAACUACGUG
rnacentral:rRNA from 1 species